UACGUAGGGGGCUAGCGUUGUCCGGAAUCAUUGGGCGUAAAGAGCGUGUAGGCGGCUUGGUAAGUCCGCUGUGAAAGUCCAGGGCUCAACCCUGGAAUGCCAGUGGAUACUGUCAAGCUAGAGUCCGGAAGAGGCGAGUGGAAUUCCUGGUGUAGACGGUGAAAUGCGCAGAUAUCAGGAGGAACACCAAUGGCGAAGGCAGCUCGCUGGGACGGUACUGACGCUGAGACGCGAAAGCGUGGGGAGCAAACAGG
rnacentral:rRNA from 1 species